CAUUCAAUUUUGUGCUUUUGGAAAUCAAAUUGGAUAUUUUAUUUGGAAAUCGUAUUCCAUAUUCGUAACAAACCGGAUUUGCUAAACACGUGCUUUAUUGAAUUGUACGGUUUGUGUUGUUGUUAGUGUGGUGUUUUAUUUCUUCGCGGGCCAGGCGAACUUUGUCUCGCCCCUAAUUGUUCUUUUAUAUAGUUCUAGAGUACUAUUCUAUUUCAUUCAAUUUUGUGCUUUUGGAAAUCAAAUUGGAUAUUUUAUUUGGAAAUCGUAUUCCAUCAAAUAAAAUGCCACGACCAAGGCGUACUAAUAUUAGUCGCCGUUCACGUAAUGCUUAUACUUUAAGGUCGAAUAGAACAUUGCAAAGUGAGGAAUAGCGUGCACAAAUUAAUGCAGAUAGAAGAGAUCGAUAUGCACGAAAUCGAAACUCACCUAAUCGAUCUCUUGAUAGGCAGCCACUUCGCCAAUGCGAGCGGGAGUUCGUGUUUUGCAGCAAACGCUCCUUGCUGCUUUUAAUUACAAUAGUGCGAUUGAUUACAGUGAAUAUGGCUGUAUUGGUGGAAUGACGGUGAGAUGUGCACAUUGUGGUGCAGCCAAAUUUCCAAAUGAAACAGAUGGCAUGUGCUGUGCUAACGGCAAAGUGAAAUUGCCAACAUUUGAACCUCCACCCGAUCCACUACGUUCGCUGAUUUUUGGAAUGGUAUCAACGUCGACACAUUUUUUGUCUCAUAUUCAAGAAUACAAUGAAGUGACAAUCAAGUGACUUCUUUUGGUGCGACAAAAAUUGUAAGAGGCAAUUAUAUGCCGACGUUCAAGGUGAUUAGUUCUUCUUCCUUCUUCUUCAUCCUCCUUCCUCCUUCUUCUUCUCCUCCUUCUUCUUCUUCCUUCUUCGUCUCACAUAUUACAGAUUCAGGGUCAGAUUUACCACCGCGCUGGCUUAUUAUUACCAUAUCCUGAUACCGACCAUCAAUUCUUACAAAUCUAUUUCGUUGGAAAUGAAAAUCGCGAAUUGGAUCGGCGAUGUACAAUUGC